AGAAAUGACCUAUAUAUCCUAAGGGCACUGGAUCCCAUCUGAACUUGGAAGUUAUGCAGGGUUAGCCCUGGAUAUUACUUGUAUGGGAGACUGCCAAUGAAUAUCAGGUGCCACAGGGU
rnacentral:rRNA from 1 species